ACCUGAGGAAACUCAAUGGAACAUUGCAUUUUUGGUCCCUGCAGGUGUUUUUGUGGCAUCUGUACCUACCUUGGCCUUGACAUAUGAAGUCUGCUUGAGGCUUCUUCACCCACCUGUCCACAGAAG
rnacentral:lncRNA from 1 species